GAUGAACGCUGGCGGCGUGCCUAAUACAUGCAAGUCGAGCGAACAGACGAGGAGCUUGCUCCUCUGACGUUAGCGGCGGACGGGUGAGUAACACGUGGAUAACCUACCUAUAAGACUGGGAUAACUUCGGGAAACCGGAGCUAAUACCGGAUAAUAUAUUGAACCGCAUGGUUCAAUAGUGAAAGGCGGUUUUGCUGUCACUUAUAGAUGGAUCCGCGCCGCAUUAGCUAGUUGGUAAGGUAACGGCUUACCAAGGCGACGAUGCGUAGCCGACCUGAGAGGGUGAUCGGCCACACUGGAACUGAGACACGGUCCAGACUCCUACGGGAGGCAGCAGUAGGGAAUCUUCCGCAAUGGGCGAAAGCCUGACGGAGCAACGCCGCGUGAGUGAUGAAGGUCUUCGGAUCGUAAAACUCUGUUAUUAGGGAAGAACAAAUGUGUAAGUAACUAUGCACGUCUUGACGGUAACUAAUCAGAAAGGCACGGCUAACUACGUG
rnacentral:rRNA from 1 species